GAUGAACGCUAGCUACAGGCUUAACACAUGCAAGUCGCGGGGCAGCAUGGGGGUUGCUUGCAAUCCCCGAUGGCGACCGGCGCACGGGUGAGUAACGCGUAUCCAACCUGCCCUUCACCACGGGAUAACCCGGCGAAAGUCGGACUAAUACCGUAUGUUGUCCAUUGACGGCAUCCGAUUUGGACGAAAGGGUUGGCGGUGAAGGAUGGGGAUGCGUCCGAUUAGCUGGACGGCGGGGUGACGGCCCACCGGGGCGACGAUCGGUAGGGGUUCUGAGAGGAAGGUCCCCCACACGGGAACUGAGACACGGUCCAGACUCCUACGGGAGGCAGCAGUGAGGAAUAUUGGUCAAUGGGCGUAAGCCUGAACCAGCCAAGUAGCGUGCAGGAUGACGGCCCUAUGGGUUGUAAACUGCUUUUAUGCGGGGAUAAAGUGGCCCACGUGUGGGUUUUUGCAGGUACCGCAUGAAUAAGGACCGGCUAAUUCCGUG
rnacentral:rRNA from 1 species